UUCAGUGCUUGGCACACACACACACCGUGGGUUAGGCCCAAGCCCCUUGCACACAGUCCCUUCCUUGACAGGGGACCUUGACGAAGGUCGUGAGGCAAAACCAGGGACCCUCGGGCCCCGACUCUCACACCACCCCAUCCCAUUUAGUGCCCCACCCUUUGUUCUCCCACUCUCUGUACUACCUCCAAUGGAAAACUCUUGUCCACAGCUACCUGUGGAGAUUUCCCUGUCUUCCUUUUUGAAACACUUUUAAUGACUGGGGGGAUUUUCCACCCUGACCCCACAGACAUGCUUUCCCAGUAGGAAAUCUACCCUAUAGAUGUAUCCCAUGAGUACUGCUGACUUAAAAAAUCCCACCAAUCCAAACUUAAGAAACCAAGAAGAGAAAGUUUAACUUCCUUUUAAUAACACAGAGAAGAGUAUCCAAUUUCUAGUUUUUUUUAUAUAGCUAUAAACACACCAGCCUCAUAUUCUGAAAUUGUGUCUGGCCUUGACAUUUAGUUUACAGAAUUACGUUUAAUUUCCUCUGCCCUGAGCCACAUUCCUAGCUGUCACAAGGUUUCUGUGUUAUUCUAGGCAAGCUGCUAAGUUCCUAAAUAUCUGGAAGUCUGGAGCUCCUACUUCCUCUUCAAUAGAACCAAGAGAAGUACUCAGCUUUCUCACAUUAAUGGGAACACUGGAACCAGACAAUUGUGGAAGAAUAUCAGAAGCCACAGAAAAUGAAGUAACACCCUUGGUCUGGGCUGGCAGAACUUCAGACUGUUUUGAUGAUCUCAGCCUGUAAGCAUUACCCUAAAACCUGGAUCAAAGCUGCCCAGGGAUCACAUAUAUGUCAAGACCUGGAAAUCUGAGCCACUUCAGGAGCACUGGGAAGAACGUUAUCUGGUUCUGUUGACUACAAGAAUGGCUGUGAAAGUGAAAGGAAUUUGGAUACAUUGCACCCAAAUUAAGAAGGUUCCGGACCCAGAAUAGUCAGUGGAAAACACCAGAUCCCUGCAGCUGAAAAUUUCAGACAAUUGUAAAUGAGCAGCAAAAUGUAUGGACUCAUGUUUAUGGGAAUCAUUUUAUCUUUAGGUGGAGGUGUUGAAGAAAAUUGAAUAUUGACUUUAAUCCAAGGGUUUGGCAAAAUGUGUGAUCUGUCCAGCAUUACAGCCUGCCUCCCUAUCCCCAUAAAUCUGUCAAUGGUGAUUCAAUAUGAUAAUCUGACUAAUGUAAUGGCAAAGGAACUUGGUAAGUAAAGAAAUAAUCUGAAGCCACAGAAAGGGUAUUCCAGAUUUUAAAUAGAUACUAAAAUAUUACAAAAGAGAAUCCCCUUGACUCUAUUAUUGGCCAAAGAAUAAGGGGUUUGUGGAUAUUAAGCAUUGAAGAGAGAAGAUUUUUGUGUACACACCCCAAAUGUAACAGAAGAUCUCCAAAGACAACAAAAUAGAGCAAGUUGCUGACAGCAAUGCUCCCCAAACAGCCUCUGCAACUAAUUGGCUCAGGAAAUGGGAGAAUGGUUCUUGAAAGGAUGGCUGGCUGUGGCACAGGAAAACAUUACAAUUGUGAUUAUAAUUGUAAUUAUAAUUGUAAUAAAUGUAAGCAUUGCUAUUGGUCAUGUUCACAAAAGGAUUGAGCUUAGUCUUGCAGGAAUAUGUGUACUGUAGAUAAAACCUGAGUUGAGACUUAUCAAAUGGCCUUAAGGAAUUUGAGACAUUUC